rnacentral:rRNA from 1 species
UUUGCGAUUACAGUAAGAGAAAAACUUUCUGAUUCAAAAACGAAAGAGUGCAUCAUCUAUUCCGGUGCAAAAGAAUUUGAAAAACUGGAAUUCCCUGCCGGUGACGAUGAGGUUAAGUCGCUUAAUCAGGCUUUUAUAAACUCAAGAUACUUUACAUCUGAAGUUAUGGCAAGUGCAACGGGGAUUCUGGCAGAUGUAAGUGAAGAGGUAUUUACUCCAGGAACUGCACCAACCGCAACAAAUACUGAAUACAGUGAUGCUUUUGUUGCAGCAGAAGCGUAUCGGUUUAACUGUGUUUGUGUGGAUACGGAAGAUACGGCAGUACAUCAGCUUCUCGCAUCCUUUGUUGAUCGUAUAUUUAAUGCUGGUCAGCUUGCAAUGGCUGUUGUUGCUGAGAAGAAGAAUGUCGCACUCACAGAAAGAAUGGCACACGCUGCGGCAUUCAACAGCGAGAAAAUGCACUAUGUAUUGAAUGCAUCUGCGGAAAUUUCCGGUGAGCUUGUUGAAGGAUACCUUGUUGCUGCAAGAAUAGCAGGAAUGAUUGCGGCGACUGCUUCAAAUAAGUCCUUGACACAUACGGUGAUGGAAGGAUACACAAAACUGAAUGAUGCGCUAACACCAACGGAAAUUUCAACGGCGGAACAGAAAGGCUGCCUUGUUUUGAGUACGAAUACAAACGGCCAGAUCUGGAUUGACAGUGCAAUCAAUACGCUGGUAAGUCCGGCAGAUAAUCAGGAUGAUGGUUGGAAGAAAAUCAGAAGGACGAAAACAAGAUAUGAGUUGAUUACGAGAUGCAAUGAUCAGGCAGAUGCCCUGAUUGGAAAGGUUGACAAUGAUGUAAACGGAAGAGCUACUGUUGUAAGCCAGCUUCAAAGUGUAAUCAAUGCAAUGAUCAAUGAAGGGAAACUGGUGUCCGGAACAGCCUCUGAGAACACAACAUAUCCGUCUGAUGGGGAUUAUGCAUAUUGUGACAUCGAAGUGAUCGAUAAGGAUUCUAUCGAGCACCUGUAUCUGACAUAUAAAUUCCAGUUUUCAAGCAGAGUAACAGAAUAAGAAGGAGGGAAAAUAAAUGGCUAUUAACGAAAGAGCAUCAUCAGAUGCACGUCAUGCUCGUACCGGUAAAGAUGCCGGUUACCCGCAGCAGGACGGAAAGACCCCGUGGAGCUUUACUGUAGCUUGAUAUUGAGCACUGGUGACACAUGUACAGGAUAGGUAGGAGACGAAGAAGCCAGGACGCCAGUCUUGGUGGAGUCGCUGUUGGGAUACUACCCUUGUGUUACUGGGGUUCUAACCCGUGGCCAUGAUCUGGUCAGGGAACAGUGUCAGGUGGGCAGUUUGACUGGGGCGGUCGCCUCCCAAAGAGUAACGGAGGCGCCCAAAGGUUCCCUCAGAAUGGUUGGAAAUCAUUCGAAGAGUGUAAAGGCAGAAGGGAGCUUGACUGCGAGACCUACAAGUCGAGCAGGGACGAAAGUCGGGCUUAGUGAUCCGGCGGUUCCGAGUGGAAGGGCCGUCGCUCAACGGAUAAAAGCUACCCUGGGGAUAACAGGCUGAUCGCGUCCAAGAGUUCACAUCGACGACGCGGUUUGGCACCUCGAUGUCGGCUCAUCGCAUCCUGGAGGGGAAGUACCUUCCAAGGGUAUGGCUGUUCGCCAUUUAAAGCGGUACGCGAGCUGGGUUCAAAACGUCGUGAGACAGUUUGGUCCCUAUCUGUCGUGGGCGUAGGAAGUUUGAAAGGAGCUGUCCCUAGUACGAGAGGACCGGGAUGGACAUAGCAAUGGUACACCAGUUGUCACGCCAGUGGCACAGCUGGGUAGCUACCUAUGGAUCGGAUAAACGCUGAAAGCAUCUAAGCGCGAAGCCGUCCUUAAGAUAAGACUUCCCAUUCGCAAGAAGUAAGAUCCCUUCAAAGUUAGGAGGUUGAUAGGUCAUAGAUGUACGCAUAGUGAUAUGUUUAGUCAAGUGAUACUAAUAGAUCGAGGACUUAAGAU